UGGGGAAUUUUGGACAAUGGGCGAAAGCCUGAUCCAGCAAUGCCGCGUGUGUGAAGAAGGCCUUCGGGUUGUAAAGCACUUUUGUCCGGAAAGAAAUCCUUGGCUCCAAUACAGUCGGGGGAUGACGGUACCGGAAGGAUAAGCACCGGCUAACUACGUGCCAGCAGCCGCGGUAAUACGUAGGGUGCAAGCGUUAAUCGGAAUUACUGGGCGUAAAGCGUGCGCAGGCGGUUUGCUAAGACCGAUGUGAAAUCCCCGGGCUCAACCUGGGAACUGCAUUGGUGACUGGCAGGCUAGAGUAUGGCAGAGGGGGGUAGAAUUCCACGUGUAGCAGUGAAAUGCGUAGAGAUGUGGAGGAAUACCGAUGGCGAAGGCAGCCCCCUGGGCCAAUACUGACGCUCAUGCACGAAAGCGUGGGGAGCAAAACAGGAUUAGAUACCCUGGUAGUCCACGCCCUAAACGAUGUCAACUAGUUGUUGGGGAUUCAUUUCCUUAGUAACGUAGCUAACGCGUGAAGUUGACCGCCUGGGGAGUACGGUCGCAAGAUUAAAACUUAAAUGAAUUGACGGGGUCAUAGCUGUUUCCU
rnacentral:rRNA from 1 species